rnacentral:rRNA from 1 species
UACAGACGGUCCAAACGUUAUUCGGAAUCACUGGGCUUAAAGAGUUCGUAGGCGGUCAGGAAAGUGGGGUGUGAAAGCCCUCGGCUUAACCGAGGAAUUGCGCUCCAAACUCCCUGACUUGAGGAGGCUAGAGGUAAGCGGAACUGAUGGUGGAGCGGUGAAAUGCGUUGAUAUCAUCAGGAACACCGGAGGCGAAGGCGGCUUACUGGGGCCUUUCUGACGGCUGAGGAACGAAAGCUAGGGGAGCGAACGGG